rnacentral:lncRNA from 11 species
AUUAGGGGUUAGUUGGGUAAAAAUAAUUUAAAUAAAUAGGCAGUUGAACAUUCAGUGUUUUCCAAUAAGAAGAAUAUCUCAAGGGAUUUUUGUUUUGUUUUGUUUUGUUUUAUUACUAAUAUACCCUUGUCCAUAUGGGAAGGUUUAGGUUGAACUGGAGGAUGGAGUAGAACAACCUAGCUUGUUCUUCUGUGAACUCUUUGCUACUGAGCCCUGCGUAACUAUGUUGCUGGAGAUCUUCUGGGAGGUCCUACUGGAGCUCCUGGUAAGGGGUCUUUUGUUGUUGGAUGUGACCUGCUCGUUUCCAUAUCCAGGCAUUUCUGGAAAACAGAAAGUAAUGUAUGGAAAUUGGGGCUGACAACAUAAUUACUGAAGUGUUCUUA